GUGCUUCUUUUGGCGGCACACAUACUAAAAUUGGAACAAUACAGAAAAGAUUAGCCUGGCCCCUACGCAAGAAUAAUAACCAAAUUUGUAAAGUGUUCCAUAUUUUU
rnacentral:snRNA from 1 species